rnacentral:rRNA from 1 species
GACAGAGGCCUCGAGCGUUAGGCGGAAUCACUGGGCUUAAAGCGUGUGUAGGCGGACGCCUAAGUACCUUGUGAAAUCCCACGGCUCAACCGUGGAAGUGCACUCGAAACUGCAGGGCUAGAGUCCUGGAGAGGAAGGUGGAAUGCUUGGUGUAGAGGUGAAAUUCGUAGAUAUCAAGCGGAACACCGGUGGCGAAGGCGACUACCUGGCCUGUUCUUGACGCUGAGGCGGCG